rnacentral:rRNA from 1 species
AUACGGAGGGUGCAAGCGUUAAUCGGAAUUACUGGGCGUAAAGCGUACGUAGGCGGUUCGUUAAGUUAGAUGUGAAAGCCCCGGGCUUAACCUGGGAACUGCAUUUAAAACUGGCGGACUAGAGUUGAGUAGAGGGGAGUGGAAUUUCAGGUGUAGCGGUGAAAUGCGUAGAGAUCUGAAGGAACACCAGUGGCGAAGGCGACUCCCUGGACUCGAACUGACGCUGAGGUACGAAAGCGUGGGUAGCAAACAGGAUUAGAAACCCUAGUAGUCC